CCCAAGCCUCAGCCCCCAUAUCCUUUCAGGAAAUCUCCUUUUGUUUUAACUGGUUAAACUAUUCCAUUUUGGGGGAAGAGAGAGAGAGAGAGAAGUAGAUCAGAAAGUGUCUUAUAUGACACACAGAGGCAUUUCAUCUUUAUGCCUGAGGCAUCAGGAAGGCUUGAUUAUUCGUCGUAAAAUUCUUUUGAAAAGUGUACCAUGGAUUGGCUGAACCAAAAGAGGAAGAAGAGAGUUUUGUGUCCAUUUAGACUGGAAAACAAGACUCGACGUAAGAGUUUGCUAUAAUUCUAUGGCAGCGACUCUGAAUUUGGGGGAGGUGCCAGACGGCUUUGAGAAUCUUAGUGAAUUCUUUGGACUCUUUGUAGAAGAAUGCACAUACGCACAACAUCCCGCAUUCAAUUUCAGAGAGUUUGAAGGGUCUUUAGGUCCGAGGUUAAAAAUCUCUGCCUUGGCGGUGGGGCGGGGGAAGGCGCGGUGGCAAGCUGAGGAAGAAAGCCUCUGAUGUUUGGUGCCUUCA